UAGGGAAUCUUCCGCAAUGGGCGAAAGCCUGACGGAGCAACGCCGCGUGAGUGAUGAAGGUCUUCGGAUCGUAAAACUCUGUUAUUAGGGAAGAACAAAUGUGUAAGUAACUAUGCACAUCUUGACGGUACCUAAUCAGAAAGCCACGGCUAACUACGUGCCAGCAGCCGCGGUAAUACGUAGGUCCCGAGCGUUGUCCGGAUUUAUUGGGCGUAAAGCGAGCGCAGGCGGUUAGAAAAGUCUGAAGUGAAAGGCAGUGGCUCAACCAUUGUAGGCUUUGGAAACUGUUUAACUUGAGUGCAGAAGGGGAGAGUGGAAUUCCAUGUGUAGCGGUGAAAUGCGUAGAUAUAUGGUGGAACACCAGUGGCGAAGGCGACUCUCUGGUCUGUAACUGACGCUGAGGCUCGAAAGCGUGGGUAGCAAACAGG
rnacentral:rRNA from 1 species